AGCGAACGCUGGCGGCGUGCCUAACACAUGCAAGUCGAACGUGAGGGUUUAGCAAUAGACCCAAAAGUGGCGAACGGGUGAGUAACACGUAGGUAACCUGCCGCGCAGAGGGGGAUAACGACUGGAAACGGUCGCUAACACCGCAUGUGACGAAGAGGAGGGGACUCCUCUUGGUUAAAAUCUGGGGUAAACCUGGGUGCUGCGCGAGGGGUCUGCGUCCGAUUAGUUAGUUGGCGAGGUAACGGCUCACCAAGACGAUGAUCGGUAGCUAGUCUGAGAGGAUGAUUAGCCACACGGGAACUGAGACACGGUCCCGACUCCUACGGGGGCAGCAGUGAGGAAUAUUGCACAAUGGACGCAAGUCUGAUGCAGCAACGCCGCGUGGAGGAUGAAGUCUUGGAUUGUAACUCCUUUUCUCAGGGAAGAGAAUGGACGGUACUGAGGAAUAAGUCACGGCUAACUACGUGCCAGCAGCCGCA
rnacentral:rRNA from 1 species